AGGGUUUGAUUAUGGCUCAGGAUGAACGCUGGCGGCGUGCUUAACACAUGCAAGUCGAACGGACAUGAGGGGCUUGCCCCUUAUGUUAGUGGCGGACGGGUGAGUAACGCGUGAGCAACCUGCCCAUAUCAGGGGAAUAACACAGUGAAAAUUGUGCUAAUACCGCAUAAGACCACGAAGCGGCAUCGCUUUGCGGUAAAAGAUUUAUCGGAUAUGGAUGGGCUCGCGUCCCAUUAGAUAGUUGGCGGGGUAACGGCCCACCAAGUCGACGAUGGGUAGCCGACCUGAGAGGGUAAUCGGCCACAUUGGAACUGAGAAACGGUCCAG
rnacentral:rRNA from 1 species